rnacentral:rRNA from 1 species
CAAGUCGAACGCCGUAGCAAUACGGAGUGGCAGACGGGUGAGUAACACGUGGGAACGUGCCCUUUGGUUCGGAACAACACAGGGAAACUUGUGCUAAUACCGGAUAAGCCCUUACGGGGAAAGAUUUAUCGCCGAAGGAUCGGCCCGCGUCUGAUUAGCUAGUUGGUGGGGUAACGGCCCACCAAGGCUACGAUCAGUAGCUGGUCUGAGAGGAUGAUCAGCCACACUGGGACUGAGACACGGCCCAGACUCCUACGGGAGGCAGCAGUUAGGAAUCUUGGACAAUGGGCGCAAGCCUGAUCCAGCCAUGCCGCGUGAGUGAUGAAGGCCUUAGGGUUGUAAAGCUCUUUCAGCGGGGAAGAUAAUGACGGUACCCGCAGAAGAAGCCCCGGCUAACUUCGUGCCAGCAGCCGCGGUAAUACGAAGGGGGCUAGCGUUGCUCGGAAUCACUGGGCGUAAAGCGCACGUAGGCGGGUCUUUAAGUCAGGGGUGAAAUCCUGGAGCUCAACUCCAGAACUGCCUUUGAUACUGAGGAUCUCGAGUCCGGGAGAGGUGAGUGGAACUCCGAGUGUAGAGGUGAAAUUCGUAGAUAUUCGGAAGAACACCAGUGGCGAAGGCGGCUCACUGGCCCGGUACUGACGCUGAUGUGCGAAAGCGUGGGGAGCAAACAGGAUUAGAUACCCUGGUAGUCCACGCCGUAAACGAUGGAUGCUAGCCGUUGGCGGGUUUACUCGUCAGUGGCGCAGCUAACGCAUUAAGCAUCCCGCCUGGGGAGUACGGUCGCAAGAUUAAAACUCAA